CCUCUUUCAGCAGGGAAGAAGCGAAAGUGACGGUACCUGCAGAAGAAGCGCCGGCUAACUACGUGCCAGCAGCCGCGGUAAUACGUAGGGCGCGAGCGUUGUCCGGAAUUAUUGGGCGUAAAGAGCUCGUAGGCGGCUUGUCGCGUCGGUUGUGAAAGCCCGGGGCUUAACCCCGGGUCUGCAGUCGAUACGGGCAGGCUAGAGUUCGGUAGGGGAGAUCGGAAUUCCUGGUGUAGCGGUGAAAUGCGCAGAUAUCAGGAGGAACACCGGUGGCGAAGGCGGAUCUCUGGGCCGAUACUGACGCUGAGGAGCGAAAGCGUGGGGAGCGAACAGGAUUAGAUACCCUGGUAGUCCACGCCGUAAACGGUGGGCACUAGGUGUGGGCGACAUUCCACGUCGUCCGUGCCGCAGCUAACGCAUUAAGUGCCCCGCCUGGGGAGUACGGCCGCAAGGCUAAAACUCAAAGGAAUUGACGGGGGCCCGCACAAGCGGCGGAGCAUGUGGCUUAAUUCGACGCAACGCGAAGAACCUUACCAAGGCUUGACAUACACCGGAAAACCCUGGAGACAGGGUCCCCCUUGUGGUCGGUGUACAGGUGGUGCAUGGCUGUCGUCAGCUCG
rnacentral:rRNA from 1 species